rnacentral:misc_RNA from 1 species
UCUUCCCAGGCCCACCACUUUCAUCGAGUGAGCAUUCGUCUUCUGGUUACGGGGCCAUAGCUCAGCUGGGAGAGCGCGUGCUUUGCAAGCAUGAGGUCGUCGGUUCGAUCCCGUCUGGCUCCACCAGAUGGUUUGAUCACCGAGAUCUUGACCGUCGUCCGCGAAACAUCACUUCGCAUCCUGCUAGUCUGGAUAGACAGCAGUUUGCGUGUUUUCUGACAUCGUAAAGAGGAGAUCGAUCCGAGUUGGGUCGUGCAGCAUAUCGUUGCGCGAGCCUUCAUUAUCUCCGGAUCAUUUCGGCGCUCGCUUCCAGCCGUGAGGUUGGAUGCGGGUUGUAAAUGAUCCUUUUAGCGAAGCUUGACCGCCUCGCUAUCGGAACGAUCUUACGAAGCAAGCUGGUCUUUCUAGUCAAUGUCCGGCUGCGGAUAGCGUUCAUCGAGGGCGCGUGCCGCAAGGCAAUUCUGCAGACAACAUUCUGCCGAGUGUGUGGACAUUGAUAAUGAGAGCAAUCAAGUGCCUUAAGGGUGUUCGGUGGAUGCCUUGGCGCUGAGAGGCGAUGAAGGACGUGCUACGCUGCGAUAAGCCGUGGGGAGCUGCGAAGAAGCUUUGAUCCGCGGAUUUCCGAAGG